rfam:Bacillus sp. FJAT-21945 Contig3, whole genome shotgun sequence.
AAUAAAAUAACAUUUUUACCGUAGACAGCAGGCGCCUUUAAGCUUAAUUUCCUGCCGAGGUAUUACGAUACAGUUAAUUGAUUUAUUAACUAUUGUAUACUUCCUCCAUGUCUGCAAAGGUGUGGAGGUUUUUUAUGGACGGU